rnacentral:rRNA from 1 species
UGGGGAAUAUUGGACAAUGGGCGCAAGCCUGAUCCAGCCAUGCCGCGUGAGUGAUGAAGGCCCUAGGGUUGUAAAGCUCUUUCACCGGUGAAGAUAAUGACGGUAACCGGAGAAGAAGCCCCGGCUAACUUCGUGCCAGCAGCCGCGGUAAUACGAAGGGGGCUAGCGUUGUUCGGAUUUACUGGGCGUAAAGCGCACGUAGGCGGACUAUUAAGUCAGGGGUGAAAUCCCGGGGCUCAACCCCGGAACUGCCUUUGAUACUGGUAGUCUUGAGUUCGAGAGAGGUGGGUGGAAUUCCGAGUGUAGAGGUGAAAUUCGUAGAUAUUCGGAGGAACACCAGUGGCGAAGGCGACUCACUGGCUCGAUACUGACGCUGAGGUGCGAAAGCGUGGGGAGCAAACAGG